UCUGAGCAGACAUUUCUCCAAAGAAGCUGUGCAAAUGGCCAAUAAGCACAUGGAAAGAUGUCUGACGUUGUUAGCCGUCAGGGACGUUCAGGGAAAUACUCCGCGAUGCGGUAUCACUUCACACCCACUAGGAUGGCAAAACGUGAAAAAGAGAGAGAAAAUAAAUAACACGUCUUGGCAAAGAUGCAGGGGAAUUUGGGACCCUCGUACACUGUACAAUUGUAAAAUGGUGUACCUCUUUGGAAAACAGUUUAGCAGUUCCUCAGAAUGCUAAACACAGAGUUACUCUAUGACCCAGUAAUUUCCUUUGUGGUUAUAUAACAAAAGUGAAAUGAAAACAUGUGCCCAUACAACUUGUUCGUGAAUACACACGGCGGUCUUACAUGGAAAUAACCCAAAUGUUUCUCAACUGAUGAAUGGAUAAAUGAAAUGUGGUGUAACCAUACAAUGGAAUAUUAUUUGGCCACAAAAGGAAACAAAAUGUCGACACCUGCUACCGCAUGAAUGAAUCUUGGAAACGUUGUGCUUAGUGAAGGAAGCCAGACACAAAAGGUGUGUACUCAGGGUAAAUUCCUAGAAACAGAUUUUUAGAUCUGGGGUGCCCGGCUGGCGCACUCGGUGGAACAGCGACUCUUGAUCUUGGGGUGAUUGGCAAAGAUUGACAGAAGCCAGCUUUGGCAAGGAGCUGCAGAAACAAACACGUUCACACACUGUUGGAAGGAAUGUAGGACGGCAUGAUACUUUCUGAGAGUAAUUCGUCAGCAUCUGUUACAACAAAAAUGUGCUCUGGACUUUUGGCUUGGCAAUUCCGGGCGAGUGGCGAGAAGUAAGAAGCAGAUGAAUGGCAACCAAGCAGCAUCGGAACCCAUGGAUUUAAUUUGCAGCAUCUUGAGGCUGAAGAGGGUUGCAGAGAUGGUCUAAUCUGAUCCCCCAGCUGUGGAGGAUUCCUUCACCGGCACCCCUGACGGACUGCCAGCCAGCUCCGCCUGCCACGUGCAGUGACAAGGAGCAGGUAACCCUGGUUAGCGCUCACCACGAAAGACUUCUGUGGGCUGAGCUGAAGUCUGUCUUGCUGCAAUCUCUGGGCACGCAGCACAUUUGUACCCACUGUCCUCCUGGAUUUAAGGACACCUUCAUGUCUCUAGUCAUCCUUGCGCCCCCCCCCCGCCCCCGCCAGAGUACUUUCCUCUGAUAUCUCUGUGUACUUUGCACAGAAUAUCUCGCAGAUUCUCCAUUCCCUGGAGCUCCACCCACUCCAGCUGGUCAGUGUCCCCCUGCAAAUAAUGGUGAGCAGAACAAACACAGCCAACACUGCUGAUAUGACCCAAUCGGGGCAAAGUGCAGGGCGGGCAUCACUUCCUAUACUCUACACCCUGUGACUCUAUUCACGCAGCACAAAGAAAAACAAGUGCUUUCCGGCAGUUGCAUCAAAUUUGCUCAUUUUAAACUUGCAUUUUAAGCAAAUACCCUGCAAUCGUUCUCACCUAAACAACAUCUGUGUUCCAUAUUUAUAAUUCGUUUAGAUGGACCCGGGUUAAGAAAUAGCACAUUGCCAGUCCCCUAGAAGGCAAGCUUCUUAACGUGCUCUUCCUAUUAUAUGACCCUCCUCCCUGGUUCCAGAGCCGUCGUUACGACUUCCGUGAUCCUCGGGCUCUUCCUGCCCAUAGUUUACUGUGUGCACCAUGUUCAGUUUUUUUGCCUGUUUGGGAACUUCAUAUAAAUGGAAUCAUGCUGUCUGUAUUACUUUAUAACUUGACUCUUUUCCUUAAACCUUGUUUGUGAGCUCCAACUGCGUUGAAAAUGUAGGGGCAGUUUGUUUACCGUCAUUGCUGUAUACUCCAUUGUACGAAUACUUUCCAGUUAAUUUAUCUAUUCUAGUGUUGAUGAACAUUCGGGUCCUUCAUUUGUUUAUUGUAUUAGAAACUCUGCCGUCUCGAAUAUUCUUGUGUCUCCUGGGGCACCUGUGCAAUGUAAUUGGUAAGUAAUUAUUUUAUGUGCUCAGAUCUGGUCUCUCAAUUUCUUUCAGGAUGGAGGAAUCCUGCCUUUUACACCUAAUAAAGGCUUUGAGCACACACUAGUUUU